rnacentral:rRNA from 1 species
CCUACGGGAGGCUGCAGUGAGGAAUAUUGGUCAAUGGGCGCGAGCCUGAACCAGCCAAGUAGCGUGAAGGAUGACUGCCCUACGGGUUGUAAACUUCUUUUAUAAAGGAAUAAAGUGAGGCACGUGUGCCUUUUUGUAUGUACUUUAUGAAUAAGGAUCGGCUAACUCCGUGACAACAGCCGCGGUAAGACGGAGGAGCCGAGCGUUAUCCGGAUUUAUUGGGUUUAAAGGGAGCGUAGAUGGGUUGUUAAGUCAGUUGUGCAAGUUUGCGGCUCAACCGUAAAAUUUCAGUUGAUACUGGCAGUCUUGAGUACAGUUGAGGUCGGCGGAAUUCGUUGUGUAGCCG